CUCGUGAAUAUUAAGAAGCGAGCCUUCGCCUUAGUAGGAUUCGUGGUUCAAUAAUUCGCCACGGAUAGUGUUAAAUUUAACAUAUGUUUGUAAUCGAGCUCAGUGGCAGCGUUUCAUGGAGAAUGUGAGGAGCUGAUGAGACAGAAUGUGCAGCAUGUUGAGGGUAUAGUUCAGGAUCAGGAGCCACUGUGCCAUACCAUGCAUGCUAAACAUCUACUGCAGCUGAAAUGAUGUGAAUGUUUCUGGAACUGUACAGCUCAAGAGAAUUUAAUGAGGAGCCAGAAGACUUCGAAAACUUGUACGGACAUGACACGAUCACAGCGCGGUCGCAUUCACGCUCGCAGCCGCCCUUUAUUUGAGGAGUCACCUUUAGAACGCUGGGUCAGAGCAACAAGACGUGAAAAGUCAUAUAACGUGUAUGCAGUUAAUUAUGUUAAUGUAUGAACUGAUUGAUUUUCAUAGCAGGUUGUCUGGCAAUUUGAUGUUUAGUUUUAUGCGCUUUGGCAUUUAUGUCCUGUUAUGGAGCUGUAAGGUAUUGAGAGAUAUUCUAAAGUAACGUUAAUCUAACCAUAUGCUCAAGGUUAUCACAUGAAGUGGUCUGUUAAAGUUUUACUUGUGGCCUAUAACACUUGAUUCAGCUCUUAUCAUUAAACUUUGGGGAAUAAGAAAGAGGUGCAGGAAAAAGAGACAGAUAAAAGAAUCUAUGACUUCAUCUGUGUCUGUAGGGACAAAAAAAAGUGAGGUGCAAAAUUCAGGUCAGCCUUUUCACACAGGAAUAGAAACUUUUCCAUCUUUGUGUGUUGGUAGAGAGUUUGUUUCCUUUAAUAUUUUCAUUGAAAACCAUAUUUUUUCCCCCAAGAAUCUCCGAUUAAAGGAAUGUUUAAAAAAUGUUUUGUAACAUUAUUAAUGUCUUUACUGUCAAUUUUGA